CGGUUAAGUGAAUAAGGGCGUACGGUGAAUGCCUUGGUACUAGGAGCCGAUGAAGGACGGGACGAACACCGAUAUGCUCCGGGGAACUGUAAGUAAGUUUUGAUCCGGAGAUUUCCGAAUGGGGCAACCCACCAUAUUGAGAAGUAUGGUAUAUACUAAGUGAAUACAUAGCUUAGUGUAAGGGACACGCGGUGAACUGAAACAUCUCAGUAGCUGCAGGAAGAGAAAACAAAUGUGAUUCCCAUAGUAGCGGCGAGCGAAAUGGGAAGAGGCCAAACGAUCAUGCUUGCAUGAUCGGGUUGUAGGACUCAAAAAUGGACGAUUGUUGUUAGUUGAACACGUUGGAGAGCGUGGCCAAAGAAGGUGACAGCCCUGUAGGCGAAAACAACAUGAACCAAUGAGGAUCCUGAGUACGGCGGAACACGAGAAAUUCCGUCGGAAUCAGCCGGGACCAUCCGGCAAGCCUAAAUACUACCUAGUGACCGAUAGUGAACCAGUACCGUGAGGGAAAGGUGAAAAGAACCCCGGAAGGGGAGUGAAAAGCACUUGAAACCGUAUGCUUACAAGUAGUCAGAGCCCGUUAAUGGGUGAUGGCGUACCUUUUGUAGAAUGGACCGGCGAGUGACGAUUUCAUGCAAGGUUAAUCUGAAGAAGAGGAGCCGCAGCGAAAGCGAGUCUGAAUAGGGCGUGCAGUAUGAGGUCGUCGACCCGAAACCAGGUGACCUACCCAUGUGCAGGGUGAAGGUGCGGUGAAACGCACUGGAGGCCCGAACCCACGUAUGUUGAAAAAUGCGGGGAUGACGUGUGGGUAGCGGUGAAAUUCCAAUCGAACCUGGAGAUAGCUGGUUCUCUCCGAAAUAGCUUUAGGGCUAGCCUCGGAUGAUGCAUCGUGGAGGUAGAGCGACUGUUUGGACGAGGGCCCCUUGCGGGGUACCGAAUCCUGAUAAACUCCGAAUGCCACAGAUGUUAAUCCGGGAGUCACACUGCGAGUGAUAAGAUCCGUAGUGGAAAGGGAAACAACCCAGACCGUCGGCUAAGGUCCCCAAAUCCUUGUUAAGUGGAAAAGGAUGUGGGGCUGCUUAGACAACUAGGAUGUUGGCUUAGAAGCAGCCAUCAUUUAAAGAGUGCGUAAUAGCUCACUAGUCGAGUGGCCCUGCGCCGAAAAUUUACCGGGGCUAAACAAGGUACCGAAGCCACGGAUAGAACCUUUGGUUCUAUGGUAGGAGAGCGUUCUAAUCAGCAUAGAAGCCUGACUGUGAAGACAGGUGGAGCGAUUAGAAGUGAGAAUGCCGGUAUGAGUAGCGAAAGACAGGUGAGAAUCCUGUCCACCGAAUGACUAAGGUUUCCUGGGGAAGGCUCGUCCUCCCAGGGUUAGUCGGGACCUAAGCUGAGGCCGAACGGCAUAGGCGAUGGUCAACAGGUUGAUAUUCCUGUACCAGUUUCUUUUGUUUGACCGAUGGAGGGACGCAGCAGGCUAAGAUAUGCCCACUGAUGGAUAUGUGGGCGCAAAUAAUAAGUCUGGCGAUGAGUCAAAUGCUUAUCGCUAAGGACAAGUUAUGACGCGGAGGGAAGUACAGUACCGAAGUAUCUGACGUCACACUGCCAAGAAAAGCUUCUAGGGAGAAAGCAACUGCCCGUACCGCAAACCGACACAGGUAGUCGAGAUGAGAAUUCUAAGGUGAGCGAGCGAACUCUCGUUAAGGAACUCGGCAAAAUGACCCCGUAACUUAGGGAGAAGGGGUGCUAACGCAAGUUAGCCGCAGUGAAUAGGCCCAGGCGACUGUUUACCAAAAACACAGGUCUCUGCUAAUUCGAAAGAAGAUGUAUAGGGGCUGACACCUGCCCGGUGCUGGAAGGUUAAGAGGACAAGUUAGCGUAUGCGAAGCUUUGAAUUGAAGCCCCAGUAAACGGCGGCCGUAACUAUAACGGUCCUAAGGUAGCGAAAUUCCUUGUCGGGUAAGUUCCGACCCGCACGAAAGGUGUAACGAUCUGGGCACUGUCUCAACGAGAGACUCGGUGAAAUUAUAGUACCUGUGAAGAUGCAGGUUACCCGCGACAGGACGAAAAGACCCCAUGGAGCUUUACUGUAGCUUGAUAUUGAGUGUCUGUACGGUUUGUACAGGAUAGGUAGGAGCCAUUGAACUCUGGACGCCAGUCUAGAGGGAGGCAUUGGUGGGAUACUACCCUCACCGUACGGCCACUCUAACUCGCGCCCCUUAACGGGGUGGAAGACAGUGUCAGGUGGGCAGUUUGACUGGGGCGGUCGCCUCCUAAACAGUAACGGAGGCGCCCAAAGGUUCCCUCAGAAUGGUUGGAAAUCAUUCGUAGAGUGUAAAGGCAGAAGGGAGCUUGACUGCGAGACUUACAAGUCGAGCAGGGACGAAAGUCGGGCUUAGUGAUCCGGUGGUUCCGUAUGGAAGGGCCAUCGCUCAACGGAUAAAAGCUACCCUGGGGAUAACAGGCUUAUCUCCCCCAAGAGUUCACAUCGACGGGGAGGUUUGGCACCUCGAUGUCGGCUCAUCGCAUCCUGGGGCUGGAGUUGGUCCCAAGGGUUGGGCUGUUCGCCCAUUAAAGCGGUACGCGAGCUGGGUUCAGAACGUCGUGAGACAGUUCGGUCUCUAUCCGUCGCGGGCGUUGGAAAUUUGAAGAGAGCCAUCCUUAGUACGAGAGGACCGGGAUGGACGCACCGCUGGUGUACCAGUUGUCAUGCCAAUGGCAUAGCUGGGUAGCUAUGUGCGGGAAGGAUAAGCGCUGAAAGCAUCUAAGCGUGAAGCCCCCUUUAAGAUGAGAUUUCCCAUUCCUAUAAGGAAGUAAGACCCCUGAAAGAAGAUCAGGUCGAUAGGCUCGAAGUGGAAGUGUGGUGACAUACGGAGCGGACGAGUACUAAUCGGUCGAGGACUUAACCAAA
rnacentral:rRNA from 1 species